GAUGAAGAACGCAGCGAAAUGCGAUACGUAAUGUGAAUUGCAGAAUUCAGUGAAUCAUCGAAUCUUUGAACGCACAUUGCGCCCGCCAGUAUUCUGGCGGGCAUGCCUGUCCGAGCGUCAUUUCAACCCUCGAACCCCUCCGGGGGGUCGGCGUUGGGGAUCGGCCCUUUACGGGGCCGGCCCCGAAAUACAGUGGCGGUCUCGCCGCAGCCUCUCCUGCGCAGUAGUUUGCACACUCGCAUCGGGAGCGCGGCGCGUCCACAGCCGUUAAACACCCCAAACUUCUGAAAUGUUGACCUCGGAUCAGGUAGGAAUACCCGCUGAACUUAAGCAUAUCAAUAAGCGGAGGA
rnacentral:misc_RNA from 1 species